rnacentral:rRNA from 1 species
UACGUAGGGUGCAAGCGUUGUCCGGAAUUAUUGGGCGUAAAGAGCUCGUAGGCGGUUUGUCGCGUCUGCUGUGAAAACUCGGGGCUUAACCCCGGGCCUGCAGUGGGUACGGGCAGACUAGAGUGCGGUAGGGGAGACUGGAAUUCCUGGUGUAGCGGUGAAAUGCGCAGAUAUCAGGAGGAACACCGGUGGCGAAGGCGCCUAUCUGGCCCGAUACUGACGCUGAGGCGCGAAAGCUAGGGGAGCAAACGGG